rnacentral:rRNA from 1 species
GACGAACGCUGGCGGCGUGCUUAACACAUGCAAGUCGAACGGAAAGGCCCUGCUUUUGUGGGGUGCUCGAGUGGCGAACGGGUGAGUAACACGUGAGUAACCUGCCCUUGAAUUUGGGAUAACUUCAGGAAAAUGGGGCUAAUACCGGAUAGGAGCUCCUGCUGCAUGGUGGGGGUUGGAAAGUUUCGGCGGUUGGGGAUGGACUCGCGGCUUAUCAGCUUGUUGGUGGGGUAGUGGCUUACCAAGGCUUUGACGGGUAGCCGGCAUGAGAGGGUGACCGGCCACAUUGGGACUGAGAUACGGCCCAGACUCCUACGGGAGGCAGCAGUGGGGAAUAUUGCACAGUGGGCGGAAGCCUGAUGCGGCAACGCCGCGUGCGGGAUGACGGCUUUCGGGUUGUAAACCGCUUUCGCCUGUGACGAAGCGGGAGUGACGGUAAUGGGUAAAGAAGCACCGGCUAACUACGUG